GACGAACGCUGGCGGCGUGCUUAACACAUGCAAGUCGAACGGAAAGGCCCUGCUUUUGUGGGGUGCUCGAGUGGCGAACGGGUGAGUAACACGUGAGUAACCUGCCCUUGACUUUGGGAUAACUUCAGGAAACUGGGGCUCAUACCGGAUAGGAGCUCCUGCUGCAUGGUGGGGGUUGGAAAGUUUCGGCGGUUGGGGAUGGACUCGCGGCUUAUCAGCUUGUUGGUGGGGUAGUGGCUUACCAAGGCUUUGACGGGUAGCCGGCCUGAGAGGGUGACCGGGCACAUUGGGACUGAGAGACGGCCCAGACUCCUAUGGGAGGCAGCAGUGGGGAAUAUUGCACAGUGGGCGGAAGCCUGAUGCAGCAACGCUGCGUGCGGGAUGACGGCCUUCGGGUUGUAAACCGCUGUCGCCUGUGACGAAGCGUGAGUGACGGUAAUGGGUAAAGAAGCACCGGCUAACUACGUG
rnacentral:rRNA from 1 species